rnacentral:rRNA from 1 species
AUGAACGCUGGCGGCGUGCCUAAUACCUGCAAGUCGAGCGAACAGAUGAGGAGCUUGCUCCUCUGACGUUAGCGGCGGACGGGUGAGUAACCCGUGGAUAACCUACCUAUAAGCCUGGGAUAACUUCGGGAAACCGGAGCUAAUACCGGAUAAUAUAUUGAACCGCAUGGUUCAAUAGUGAAAGACGGUUUUGCUGUCACUUAUAGAUGGAUCCGCGCCGCAUUAGCUAGUUGGUAAGGUAACGGCUUACCAAGGCAACGAUGCGUAGCCGACCUGAGAGGGUGAUCGGCCACACUGGAACUGAGACACGGUCCAGACUCCUACGGGAGGCAGCAGUAGGGAAUCUUCCGCAAUGGGCGAAAGCCUGACGGAGCAACGCCGCGUGAGUGAUGAAGGUCUUCGGAUCGUAAAACUCUGUUAUUAGGGAAGAACAAAUGUGUAAGUAACUAUGCACGUCUUGACGGUACCUAAUCAGAAAGCCACGGCUAACUACGUG